CCUACGGGAGGCAGCAGUGAGGAAUAUUGGUCAAUGGACGAGAGUCUGAACCAGCCAAGUAGCGUGAAGGAUGACUGCCCUAUGGGUUGUAAACUUCUUUUAUAUGGGAAUAAAACGUUCCACGUGUGGGAUUUUGUAUGUACCAGAAGAAUAAGGAUCGGCUAACUCCGUGCCAGCAGCCGCGGUAAUACGGAGGAUCCGAGCGUUAUCCGGAUUUAUUGGGUUUAAAGGGAGCGUAGGUGGAUUGUUAAGUCAGUUGUGAAAGUUUGCGGCUCAAACGUAAAAUGUCAGUUGAAACUGGCAGUCUUGAGUACAGUAGAGGUGGGCGGAAUUCGUGGUGUAGCGGUGAAAUGCUUAGAUAUCACGAAGAACUCCGAGUGCGAAGGCAGUUCACUGGACUGCAACUGACACUGAGGCUCGAAAGUGUGGGUAUCAAACAGGAUUAGAUACCCCUGUAGUC
rnacentral:rRNA from 1 species